UGAUGCAGCCAUGCCGCGUGUAUGAAGAAGGCCUUCGGGUUGUAAAGUACUUUCAGCAGUGAGGAAGGUGGGUAUGUUAAUAGCAUACUCAUUUGACGUUAGCUGCAGAAGAAGCACCGGCUAACUCCGUGCCAGCAGCCGCGGUAAUACGGAGGGUGCGAGCGUUAAUCGGAAUUACUGGGCGUAAAGCGCAUGCAGGUGGUUUGUUAAGUCAGAUGUGAAAGCCCGGGGCUCAACCUCGGAAUUGCAUUUGAAAACUGGCAAACUAGAGUACUGUAGAGGGGGGUAGAAUUUCAGGUGUAGCGGUGAAAUGCGUAGAGAUCUGAAGGAAUACCGGUGGCGAAGGCGGCCCCCCUGGACAGAUACUGACACUCAGAUGCGAAAGCGUGGGGAGCAAACAGGAUUAGAUACCCUGGUAG
rnacentral:rRNA from 1 species